rnacentral:rRNA from 1 species
UACGUAGGGGGCCAGCGUUGUUCGGAUUCAUUGGGCGUAAAGGGUGCGUAGGUGGCGCUGUAAGUCAGGUGUGAAAUCUCGGGGCUUAACUCCGAAACUGCAUUCGAUACUGCCGUGCUUGAGGACUGGAGAGGAGACUGGAAUUUACGGUGUAGCGGUGAAAUGCGUAGAUAUCGUAAGGAACACCGGUGGCGAAGGCGGAUCUCUGGGCCUUACCUGACGCUGAGGCGCGAAAGCUAGGGGAGCAAACAGG